AAGGUCCUCUGGAUUGUAAACCUCUUUUACCUGGGAAGAAACCCAUAUUUCUAAUGUGGUUGACGGUACCAGAUGAAUAAGCACCGGCUAACUCCGUGC
rnacentral:rRNA from 1 species